GAUGAACGCUGGCGGCGUGCCUAAUACAUGCAAGUCGAGCGAACAGACGAGGAGCUUGCUCCUCUGACGUUAGCGGCGGACGGGUGAGUAACACGUGGAUAACCUACCUAUAAGACUGGGAUAACUUCGGGAAACCGGAGCUAAUACCGGAUAACAUGUUGAACCGCAUGGUUCAACAGUGAAAGACGGUCUUGCUGUCACUUAUAGAUGGAUCCGCGCCGCAUUAGCUAGUUGGUAAGGUAACGGCUUACCAAGGCAACGAUGCGUAGCCGACCUGAGAGGGUGAUCGGCCACACUGGAACUGAGACACGGUCCAGACUCCUACGGGAGGCAGCAGUAGGGAAUGUUCCGCAAUGGGCGAAAGCCUGACGGAGCAACGCCGCGUGAGUGAAGACGGUCUUCGGAUCGUAAAACUCUGUUAUUAGGGAAGAACAAAUGUGUAAGUAACUAUGCACGUCUUGACGGUACCUAAUCAGAAAGCCACGGCUAACUACGUG
rnacentral:rRNA from 1 species